GGGGCCGUAGCUCAGCAGGAGAGCAUUUUGCUUUGCAAGCAGGAGGUCGCAGGUUCAAUCCCUGGCGCCUCCA